UACUACUGUCAUAAGCAGUAGUACUUCUAGAAGAAUGGGCGAUACAAUAAAGAAAUAUAGCUAGGGUUCUAGGCUCUUAUCUGCAAGCAAAGAUUAGGAGAUGGUUGCAUUCAUGUAGGAAGUUGUCGGGUGCAUUCAUUCAGUGUUGAAUUAGCUUGUUUCAUGAUAGCCUGAGUCAUGUGUUAGCUUACUGAAGAGUAAAAUUUUUGAAUCUUGAAAGCCAUUCAUCACUGCUGGUUCUUGGGUGUAAUAAGCAAGCUCAACUUGAGCUUUUCCAUAGCUUAAUUUUUUUUUGUUGUCUGAAACAAACCACAUUUAAUAAGUUAUCUUUAAUGGACUGCUACAUUCAUUUACUCUACAUGGUGCGGAGUGAGAGACCUUAUUGGAAUGUGUAUAUUUUAAGUAUUGUGUGUGACAAAGUCAUGUGUUUCUUUGGCUUGUUGAGUUGGUAGUUUUAAAUAUAUGCUACAUGGUUAAAACUGAAUUCUCUAAGUCAAUUGAAAUUGGUGCUUAUAGUUAAAGGACUGAAACCUUGAGAUGAUGAAUUUUCAUUAAAAAUCCUUUGGACUGAAGUUUAAUAGUGGGUACAUGCAGUUAUUUCUACAAUGCUUUUAAUAUGGGAUUUCAAGUGGAUGUGACUUGUAACUCCUUUGUUACUUAAAGCUGGUUGCAUUUCUUGCUGCUUUCUGAAAGGUCUCCCGCAAACUUUAGAUGUGUACUUAACAUCUUGCUUCUGAGACUUGAGGGAUUGUUGAUUGUCUGGUAAUAAGGAUCUGCUGAUUUCAAGUGUUGUUUACUGUUUGUUUUUAGGUAUGACGGAGAGGAAGUUUUCAGUCCUGUCCAAUAUGUUGUACAGAAGCAUUAAGGUCUUUAUGGAAGCACCAUCAGAAGUAGAACACUUGACACAGACAAGUGGAUUUUCCUGAAAGCUAUAAUGGCAUGAACAGUUUCUAAUAAUGGGAGUGUGAAGUGUCCUGGUGAAAGAUUUCCUGGCAACUGAAGUGCAACAGAUAGAGAGAUACUUGAAUGCUGCUUUUCAUUUGAAGGAAAGUGGUUAAAAAAUGUAGGAACAAUUGUUUUUAGCUUAUUCAGUGAUGAGUUGGAACACUUUGUCAGUGCUGCCUGACAAAUGUGGAUGAUCUGUAACUGGAAGGAAGUGUAACACCUGAAGAGUUUUUGUGGCUUGGAGUGGGAUGCCAUGCUUUUAAAAGCCUGCUGAAACAGCUGCUGCAAUUUUGCUUUAGUGGAUACUGUUUCCAGAAACUGCUUGUGAACCAAAAUCAC